ensembl:lncRNA
GAUUGAAGUAGUGUAGAACAGGAAAAAUAAAAAACCUUGAGAACCAUGUCUCUCUGCCUUAACUGCGAAAAUAAACAACUCAUUUGUCCCAUGUGAAAAGGAAUUAAAACUUCUCACUGAGUCUUAAUCUUGAGUCUGUGUUUUCUCUCUGCUUCAUAAUCUCCACAGAACAAGCCGGCAGCAAUUCUUGAGCCUUUAGGUCCACAUCCUGAGAAAGUUCAAAGCACUUCCUUCACAUAAUGGUUUUUUUUCCUUUCCAAGCGGUCAUGCAGGAAGAGGUGAGACCCACCAAACCACAGUUUGCCUCGCUCCCUGUGAGCAAUGCUGUUGAUAUAACGACCCAGCUCAGACAGGGAAGGUAAAGGCUGAACUGUUGUUUUAUUUUUGUAGCAAAACUGAUUCUAAAUGGUUGACUCCCAUCCUUUGUUUUUCUUAAGGAUUUCUAGUGGCUGCCACUGAUUUCCUACAGGAGGGCACUGUGGAAGGAAGGAGAGGUGGUACGCAUGGGGAAAGAUCAAAGUGCUUUCAGAGAUCUGCAGUAGUAUCGCAUUCUUCUUUCGAUUACGUGAGUGCAGCUGAAGACCUGGAGCAGCAGUGAUGAGGUGCAUGCACUGCAGCUACUCCCUUCCCUAUUCUCAUAGGAAGCUCAUGCGUUGAGGUAGGUGGAGGCAUUAGGUUUUCCAAAAGUUUCUUGACUUCCGAUAUCGUUAUCAUCCGUGAGGAGGGAGAUCUGCAAAAUGGAGAGGAUGGGUUACCUGGUGUCUGCGUUGCGGCAGCGCUCUUCUGCCAGCCAAGGAUGAGUGGUCGCUCACCUCAGUGGAGCCAUUUGUUCUUCAUUAUGUGGUAUAAAACACGGGGUGUUCUGCCCUGCCAGCCUGGAGGAAGUUCUUAGUUCAUACUAGUUGGUGAUAACACCAAUCCUUAAGUUUUUGUGCUUCUGUUUACCAAGCCAUUUUUUUCAGUCUUGUCCGGGAAGUUAUUCAGCAAGUUAUUGUCAAAGGUGAUCAACAUCUAAUCUUGGAGUUGUGUCUCCAGAAAUAUCAGGCUGAUAUUAUCAAAGUGAUAUUUCAGGAAAGAAUGUCAAACUGAUGGAUUACAGGAAACUGCAGAGAAAGCUACUGUUUUACUGGAUCUUAAGGAGAUGACAGAUCCAUGAGUCCCUGUGUUCUGUCAAAGCUGCAGACACGCAUAACUGUAGCUAGAAGGGGUAGCUGCUUUACUGUUACUGUUUGUUGUCAUCAGAUAUUGGUUUAGAUAAGACGUAAAUUUAGUUCAUAUUACUCAGAAAAACAGCAGCCGCCUUCUUCCGGGAAUAGUGACCCCCUGACAGUGGGACUGGCCCAUGUUGGGAGUGCCUCAUACCCGCCAUAGAGUCUGCCUGAUGGUGAGUAAAGAGGAAGAGUGGUUGGAAGGAGAUUUGCCAGCGGCAGUGUAAUUAAACCAAAUAUUAAAUGGCAAGAGAGUGACAGUUCAAGCUUUUGCCUUCCUGAUUUUUCAUUUUUUGUACAGCUUUGUGGUUGGUUGUUGGGUUUUAAACUGACAUUUUUAGUUCAAUGAGAUUUCUGGUUUGUUUGUUUGUUGUUGUUUUUUAAUGUGGGGGCAGGGCUAAGGUUUUAUCUGUAAAGUAAAUGUUAAUUACUGGCAUAGAACAGCUAUAUAGUUUUCAUUUUGUGGUAUUAUGUUACCUGGAUAUAUUGUUCAGCUCAUAGAAAGAUGAGGACAGGCACUGGUUUAUUCUAUUACUGCUUUACAGCUGUGCAGUAUGGUUUAGACUGUACUUUUACAGCAAUUAUACAACCUUUUGACAAACAGUGUAGAAAUCUUUAGAAAUUGUUUAAAAAACUCUGGGG